CCUGGCUCUUUGUAGGUUCUAGAUGGUUCUUGAUGUAUUCUAAGGGUGUUCCUGGCUCUUUGUAGGUUCUAGAUGGUUCUUGAUGUGCUCUAAGGGUGUUCCUGGCUCUUUGUAGGUUCUAGAUGGUUCUUGAUGUAUUCUAAGGGUGUUCCUGGCUCUUUGUAGGUUCUAGAUGGUUCUUGAUGUAUCUAAGGGUGUUCCUGGCUCUUUGUAGGUUCUAGAUGGUUCUUGAUGUAUUCUAAGGGUGUUGCUGGCUUUCUGUAGAUUUCAUGUACUCUAAAAGUAUUCCAGGCUCUCUAAUAAGUUCUAGAUGAUUCUUGUGCUCUAAAGCUGUUCCUGGUUCUCUCUAAGUUCUAGACAAUUCUUGUUGUGCUCUAAGGGUGUCCUGGUUCUCUGUAAGUUCUAGUUAGUGUCUGAUGUGCUCUAAGAAUAUUCCAGGCUCUCUGUAGGUUCUAAAUGGUUCUUGAUGUGCCCUAAGGAUGUUCCUGGCUCUCUGUAAGUUCUAGAUAGUUCUUGAUUUGCUCUAAGGGUUUUCCUGGCUUUCUGUAGAUUUCGUGUGCUCUAAAAGUAUUCCAGGCUCUCUGUAAGUUCUAGAUACUUUUUGAUAUGCUCUAAGGGUGUUGCUGGCUUUCUGUAAGUUCUAGAUGCUCUAAGAAUUUUCCUGGCUUUCUAUAGAUUUGAUGUCCUUUAAGGGUGUUCCUGGCUCUCUGUAAGUUCUAGAUACUUUUUGAUAUGCUCUAAGGGUGUUCCUGGCUCUUUGUAGGUUCUAGAUGGUUCUUGAUGUAUUCCAAGGGUGUUGCUGGCUUUCUGUAGAUUUCAUGUGCUCUAAAAGUAUUCCAGGCUCUCUGUAGGUUCUAGAUGGUUCUUGUGCUCUAAAGGUGUUCCUGGCUCUAAGUUCUAGAUAAUUCUUGUGCUCUAAGGGUGUCCUGGCUUUCUGUAGAUUUGAUGCGCUCUAAGGAUGUUCUUGGCUCUCUGUAAGUUCUAGAUACUUUUUGAUAUGCUCUAAGAGUAUUCCAGGCUUUCUGUAAGUUCUAGAAAGUUUCUGAUAUGCUCUAAAGAUGAUUCCUUUAUGUUCAAUCAGGUCCUCAGUAGAUAUGAAGGAUGUUGAACUAAGCCCUGCUUUUUUGUAUUCCUCUCCCCUAUUUCUACUUUCAUUGAUUCAUCAUACAAGUUCCAGUAAAAAUUUUCAGUGACUUCAUAUCACCUGUAGAAUAAACUAUAAACUUCUUGGCCUGGCAUUUAAAGUCCUCCAAGCACUGGUUCUACCUUUCCAACACCGUUUCAUUUUUUCCCCAUCCCUCUACAUUCUGGCCAAAAUUCACGCUUCACUUUUCUGUGAAUUCACUUCACCUCCUGCAAAAGCCUUCACAUAAGCCAUCUUGAAUGGCUAGAAUGCAUCCUCUCUCCACCUCCACCUCUCAUAGGAACAUAGGUCUAGAACCAAAAGAGAAUCUAGAGGCCAUCUAGCUCAACCCUAUCCUUUUACAGCUAAAGAAUCUGAGGUCCCAAGGAGUGAAAUAACUUAUUCAAGACCAUACAGGUAAUGUGUAUCAUCCUUCAAGGGUCAGUUUGAGAGACCACCUUCUCUGAAUGGCUUUCCCUGAUCUCUACCUUCCCCUGCACCUCCAGUUCAACAUAUUAGAGAGAUAAAAUGCAAUCAUCUUCAGGACAGGGACUCCCACCAGAGCUUAGUUUAGUGCCCAGUUUAGUGCUAAUAAAGGCUUUGAAUUGAAUUGCCAUGCGUUCUCAUGUACAGCCUGUCCCCCCUGGUACACACCUGUAGUCCCAAGCCCAGAACUACUCUUGUACAUUCCAGUUAGGGAUCCUUUCCCUUGAUUGAUAAAGGCAGACAGUCUCAGUUCUCCUACCAGAGCCUGUAGUUCUUCACAGGAUCACUGGGCCUCCGUGGAAUUUAAGCAAAGUCAGAAAUUACAGGUUUCAGGAAGGAAUGGAAUUGUGGUAUGAUGGAGUUACAGUCCUUUGACUUAAGUGAUGUAGAAACCUUAGAAAUAAUCUUAUCUCGAAUGCAGAAAAGUUAAUUGACAGGGAGAAGUAGAUAUGGGAUUCAAACUGAAGGAUUUUUUUAGGAUUUUAGGAUCAUAGAUUAGGGAUGGAAGGGAGCUCAGAGAUCAUCUGAUGGUCCAGCUCCCUCAUUUUAUGGAUGAGGAAACUGAUGUCCACAGAGGAUAAGCGUCUUGGCCAUAAUCACACAGAAGCCAAAUGGCAGAGCUGGAAUUCAACUCCAAUUUCUCUAACUUCAGAUUCCAUAUUUGUCUUUUUUUCCCCCAUUACACCACAUUAUGGGAAUGAUAAUUAUGAUAAUGAUAAUAAUAACUCACAAUUAUGUAGUAUUUUAAAAUUCUCAAAGUACUUUCUUCUAUGACCUCCAGACCUUGUGAGACAAAUAGAGAUGGCAUUAGUAUUCUCAUUUUACAGAUGCUACUGGGUAGUCCUUUAAGAUUAUCUUUAAUUUCUUCUAUAUUUAUUUGUACAUAAUUGUUUGAAUGUUGUGAUUCCAAAUUUGGAUUUGAGGAGAAGUCCCCAUCAUUCUUCUCUAUAAUUCCAAAUGGCUAAUCAAAUUCUUUUUUUUUUCCCCUUCACCCACUAGACCAUUUAGUUAAUUGGGUAUUUGCUUUUCCUCAUCAAGUUAGAUAGUGGAAUAACAAAAACAAACAAAAUAACUAUUACAUACAACCAAAUUAUUCUCUAUCAUUCAAAAGUGAGAAUUAUUAAUCUUUGUCACCCAAUUUACCUACAAAGUUCAGAAACUAUGGAUUUUGGUUAUAUUAAAGUUUGAAAGGAUUGGCAAACAUUUCAAUAGUUAGAGAUAGGAAAGGGACAUUCCAGAGAAUGGGAUAAACAACAGGCUGAAGAUGGGAAAUGACAGGGUAGGGUGACAGGUGAAGAAGGAUUUAAUAAGCAUUUAAUAUAUAUUAGUAAUGGAUAGCUAGAUGGCAGAGUGGAUGGAGUUCCCGACCUGGAAUGAGGAAAACCUGAAUUCAAAUCAAAACCUAAGACACUUACUAGUUGUGUGAUCCUGGACAAGUCACUUCACCCUGUGUGCCUCAGUUUCCUCAUCUGUAAAAUGAACUAGAGAAGGAAAUGGCAAACCAUUCUGAUAUCUCUACCAAGAAGACCCCAAAUGAGGUCACAAAGAGUAGGACACUACUGAAAAUGACUGAACAACAACAUAAACUAAGCCUGGAGAUUAAAAGAAAAAAGGUAAAAAUAGCCCAUGUUCUCAAGGAAUUCAUAAUCUAAUGAGGAAAAAACAUACAAAGAGUUAUGUUCAAAUAAGACACAUGCAAUAUAAAUUGGAAAGGAUCUUAGAGGGAUUACAGAUGGAGAAACUAAGAUCUAAGUAUGUUAAUUGACUUUUACAAAAUCACAAAGGCAAUGAGCUUCAGAGCUAGGAUUUGAAUCCAGAUCUUCUGGUUGCAGACAGGGGUCUUUCAAGUGUACUAUGCUAUUAUAAUGAUUCUUGAAUCACAACCAAUUCCAUAAAUCUAGCCUAAGCUAACUAAAGUGUCUGGCAGAAUCUUUGGCUCCCCACAAUUUGACUUCUGGGAUCUGAAAUCCCCCUUGACCUUGAUCAUAGGACAAAGUCAGGAUGGCAUCUCUUGAAGUUAUCACCACUACCAACAUUCCUGCCAAUUUGGGAUCCCUGCUCAGGGCAGACAGAGCUCACUGGAUUAUUCUACAAUUCCUGGUUCAUUUAACAGCUGACAAGCUGCUUGUUAAAGUCUGAUACAACUGUGCCAUCCUCCUACAAUCAUAAAAUUAUAGGGAUUUCUCUUUCAUUUAAUUAAUGGUUUCACACACACACAUAUACAUAUAUAUAUGUAUAUAUACAUAUUCAUGUAUCUUAUAACCAUCUCUAGAGUAAGGAGUGGGAAGGAAGAAAAAAAAGAAAGCUAUAUGAUAACUUUAUUUUUUAUUUAAGAGGAU
ensembl:lncRNA